GGAGGAAAAGAAACCAACAGGGAUUGCCCCAGUAACGGCGAGUGAAGCGGCAACAGCUCAAAUUUGAAAUCUGGCCUUCGGGUCCGAGUUGUAAUUUGUAGAGGAUGCUUUUGGCGAGGUGCCUUCCGAGUUCCCUGGAACGGGACGCCAUAGAGGGUGAGAGCCCCGUCUGGUCGGAUACCAAGCCUCUGUAAAGCUCCUUCGACGAGUCGAGUAGUUUGGGAAUGCUGCUCAAAAUGGGAGGUAUAUGUCUUCUAAAGCUAAAUAUUGGCCAGAGACCGAUAGCGCACAAGUAGAGUGAUCGAAAGAUGAAAAGCACUUUGAAAAGAGGGUUAAAAAGUACGUGAAAUUGUUGAAAGGGAAGCGCCUAUGACCAGACUUGGGCCCGGUGAAUCAUCCAGCGUUCUCGCUGGUGCACUUUGCCGGGCACAGGCCAGCAUCAGUUUGGCGCGGGGGAUAAAGGCUUUGGGAAUGUGGCUCCCUCGGGAGUGUUAUAACCCAUUGCGCAAUACCCUGCGCCGGACUGAGGUACGCGCAUCGCAAGGAUGCUGGCGUAAUGGUCAUCAGCGACCCGUCUUGAAACACGGACCAAGGAGUCGUCUUCGUAUGCGAGUGUUCGGGUGUCAAACCCCUACGCGUAAUGAAAGUGAACGCAGGUGAGAGCUUCGGCGCAUCAUCGACCGAUCCUGAUGUUCUCGGAUGGAUUUGAGUAAGAGCAUACGGGGCCGGACCCGAAAGAAGGUGAACUAUGCCUGUAUAGGGUGAAGCCAGAGGAAACUCUGGUGGAGGCUCGCAGCGGUUCUGACGUGCGAAUCGAUCGUCAAAUAUGGGCAUGGGGGCGAAAGACUAAUCGAGCCUUCUAGUAGCUGGUUCCCAA
rnacentral:rRNA from 1 species